rnacentral:misc_RNA from 1 species
CGCACCUUGCACCCUUUGGUAUUCCGAAGGGUAUGCCUGUUUGAGUGUCAUUAAAUUCUCAAACCUACUAGUCUUUAUUGACUACGUAGGCUUUGGAUGUGGGAGUUGCUGGCCUAACAGUCGGCUCUCCUUAAAUGCAUUAGUGGCUUGUCGAUCCCCAUUCACUUGGUGUGAUAGUAAUAUCUACAUUGAGGAUGGUUAGGUCAUACUAUGGCAACUGCUUUCUAACGGUCCUUUAUUGGACAAUUUGAACCAUUUGACCUCAAAUCAGGUAGGACUACCCGCUGAACUUAA